rnacentral:rRNA from 1 species
GACGGAAGGUGCAAGCGUUGCUCGGAAUCACUGGGCGUAAAGGGUGCGUAGGCGGCCGCGCAAGUCUGGCGUGAAAGCCCCGGGCUCAGCCCGGGAAGGGCGCUCGAAACGGCGCGGCUCGAGUGCCGGAGGGGAGAGUGGAAUUCCUGGUGUAGCGGUGAAAUGCGUAGAUAUCAGGAGGAAUACCGGUGGCGAAGGCGACAUCCUGGACCGGUAUUGACGCUGAGGCGCGAAAGCCAGGGGAGCAAACGGG